CACGCCUCCAUUGUGACUCAUUAACUUAGGUAAGAAUGAAGGGUCUCAUUCAACCCCUCAUUCUUACCUAAGGGUUGUGUGAGACCCCUUCUCCAAAGCUUUUUGCAUCUUAAGAAAGAUAAUUCCUAGGAAAGGUGCCUCACCUGGGUCAUAGCCAGUGGAAAAAGGAAAGCUUAUGAUAUCUCUUGGUCUGGUAUUAAGAGGCCAGGCUGGAAAAGGAAGGCACCAUUUCCAUCAUAUUCUUCUGGAGAGAACUUAGUCUCAUCUUCUUCACAGAAGAUGGGGAAAGGUGGCCCAGCUGGUCAGCCCUGUGCCUGGCUGCAUUUCUGUUACUAUGGAAGGAGGGAAAAAGGAAAGCCAGCAGUGCAUGUCACGCUUACAUAAGCUCCCUCCAUCAGGAAACUUAAGACCAACUCCAUUUGAUCUGAUCAGAGGACGUCUAUAAGGACCAACACAGUGUCACAUUCAAAAGCAUCUUUCUCCCCCUCCAAUCAACCAGUGUCCUGGGGCCUUCUUACCUCUGGGUAAGUUCUUUGCUAUCUUGGGCUCUCCUAGAGGUGGACAAUGAUCUUCCUUUUGGUUGAGAGUCCUAAUUGAGGAGCCUUAAGAUCUGACCAUUUGUCUAAAAGUCCUCUAGAUAACUUCUCCCAAGUUUACAUUGGUCCUUAUGCAAAUACACCUCCAAAUGGCCCAUCCCAGAAUGUCAGAAUUUCUUAACUGUACCCUGGAAACAGAGUCUCAGGGCAAACCAAGAAUGUGUCCUGGAGUGGACUACCCGAAGCACAGUACUUAUACAUUCUCUUUCACAGAAAAUGAGAAGGUGGCCGAGAAGGAAAGGUGACAUUCUUACAACUCUAAAUGGUGCUCAGUGUUGUUAUAAAUAAGAUAAAGCAAAUAUGUGGUUCAGGUAUAUAGAGUAAAAGAUUAACAUGUAUGUAGGCAUCUCGGGGUCUGGGGAGGGAUGAUUGAUUUUAUCUUGCCUUUAUUCUUCAUCUAUAGGCAAGGUUGUCAUCAACACAGGUCAGUGGAAUAUUUGACAUAUUCUAGGCUUGCAGGCUGAGAUUUCAGCUUUUGUUCAUAGGCCUAGUUUAUAUUAAUUGUUCACAGUUAUUAACUGUAUAUCCUGCCUGCAGCCACCUUGGGAUGCCAUUUUUAAAAACUUUUUUCUUCAGCUUUUUCUUUCCUCCAGGAGUUGUGGUACACCACCCUCCCUGCAUGUAUUCAGCAACCUAGAAGCUGUCUGAACCCUGUCCUUUAGGGUUUUAUAAUGACUUCACUACAGAGACACGAUUGAUUAAAUUAUUGGCCAUUGGUGAUUAACUCAAUCUUCAGCCCCUCCAUCCUGGAGACUGGGGGUGGUGCUGAAAGUUCCAACCCCUAAUCACGUGAUUGGUUCCUCUGGCAAUCAGUCCCCAUCUCUUCAGGAGUCCCCACCCAUCAGUCAUUUUAUUAGCAUAUCUUGAAAAAACUUCACUUUGGAGAUUCCAAGUGUUUUCAGAGAGGUGUGCCAGGAAACCAGGGCAGAGGCCAUAUAUAUGUAUUUUUAUAAUCUCACAAGAUAUUAACAGAAUAUAGUUUAAACUCUAUAAAACGUUUUAAAGAGGGUUUGUUCUGAGCCAAUAUGAGUGACUGCAGCUCAGGGAUACACAGUCUCAAGAGGUCCUGAAAAAGUGAGCCCAAGGCAAUCGGGUUAUAGUUUGGCUUUAUAUAUUUCAGGGAGACAGAAAUUGCAGGUAAAAUCAUAAAUCAAUGGAAUGUAUAUAUUGGUUUGGCCUGAAAAGGUGGGACAUCUCAAAGUAGGGGCUUAAAGUCAUAGGUGGGUUUUAGGUGUUCUUUAGUUAGCAAUUGGUUUGAAGCAGUGAAGCUUUAUCUAAAUACUUGAAGUCAGUAGAAAAAAAAAAAGCUUAAGAUACACAGUCUGCUAUCUGUCAUGUGAUGCUACACUAGAGUCUGGUUGGAAGGUAAGCCACAUUAUACCAGGUUACUUAAAACAGACACACACACACACACACACACACACACACACAGAGACACAUUAACGGGAUUUUAUGGUGUGUGACUUAACCCUGGCCUUGCAUAGACUUAGGUUUUUUUGUAAUUUGGUAUUCUAUUACCACAAAAAGCCUGUUUUGUCAGUCUUAUGACUUCUAUUUUAACAUUAAUGUUGGUCACUUGUGCCUACGCUCCAUGAUGAGGCGUGACUGACUUCGCUUCUCAUCAUAACAAAGAACUCAGAUUUGUGGGUUUCACUGGAGUCCCCUUGGCUAAGAGGGGGUCUGUUCAGUUAGGGAGCUUAGGAUUUUUUUAGCUUAUAAUAUUACUCUGUUUUCUACUAAAAGUGUAAUCAUUUUAGCUCUUAUAUUAGGGUAUAUAACUUACCUCAAAUUAAUUUUUUUGUAGGUAGGGUAUAAGAUGGGGCCAAGCUUUAUCUUUACAUAUAUAUAUAUUUAUAUACACACACAUAUAUGUUCACAUACUCAAAUAUAUAUUUGUAUGUGUGUGUUCAAUUGUUCCAGCAUCAUUUGUUGAACAAACUUCCCUUUUUUCAUUGAAUUUAUUGGGCAUCUUUGUUUAAAAUCAAUUGACCAAUACAGAAAAUUAGCUGGGCGUGGUGGCACAUGCCUGUAAUCCCAGCUACUGGGAGGCUGAGGUGGGAGAAUCUCUUGAACACAGGAGGUGGAGGUUGCAGUGAGCCAAGAUUGCACCACUGCACUCCAGCCUGGGGAACAGAGCAAGACUCCAUCUAAAAAAAAAAAAAAAAUCAAUUGACCUAUACUUAUACAGGUGUGAGGUAUACCUUAUAGAUACAGGUAUUAUCACUGGGGUUGCAUUGGCUCCAUAAAUCAACAGGGGAAGAACUGACAUCUUAGCAAUAUUGAGCCUUCUGUUCCAUGAAAAUGGUAUAUCUCUGCAUUUAUUUAGGUCUUUUAAAUGUUUACUCAGUAAUGUUUUUUCUUUUUUUUUUUUUUGUCAGGGUCUCACCCUGUCACCCAGGCUGGGGUGCAGUGGUGUGAUCUCAGCUCACUGUAACCUCCACCUCCCAGACUCAAGUGGUCCUCCCAACUCAGCCUCCCUAGUAGCUGGGACCACAGGUGCACACCACCAUGCCUGGCUGAUUUUUUUUUUGUAUGUUUGCAAGACACAGGGUUUCACCAUGUUGCCCAGGCUGGUCUACAACUCCUGAGUUCAAACGAUCCUCCUGCCUCAGCCUCCCAAAGUGCUGGGAUUACAGGUGUGAGCCACCACACCCAGCCCAUGUUUUGUAGUUUUCAACAUAUUUUGCAUGUCUUUUGUCAAAUUUAUUCCUGAGCAUUUUAUUUUUGACACUAUUACAAAUGGAUAAAAAUGUUUCCGAUUGCUUGCUGUUAGUAUAUAGAAAUACUGUACAAUUGAUUUUUGCAUGUUGACCUCAUAUCCUGAGAUCUUGCUAAACUUAUGUUUUAGUUCUAUUAAUUUUUGUUUCAAUUUCUUAGAACUUUCUACAUAAAAAAUAAUAUGGUCUUCAAAUAAUGUUUUACUUCUUCUUUUCCAAUCUUUAUGUCCUUUCUUUCUUCUUGCCUUCUUGCACUGGUUAGGACUUUUGGCAUAAUGUUAAGUAGAAAUGAUGAGAACAGACAUCUUUCCCUAUUCCCAAUCUUAGUGGGAGAAUGUUCAGAGUUUAGCUAAUUUAAUGUUAACUAUAGAUUUUUUAAUAGAUGCCUUUCAUCAGAUUGAGGAAGUUUCCUUCUAUUUCCAGUUUGCUGAUUUUUUUUAUCAUAAGUGGAUAUUGAAUUUUGCUAAUUGCUUUUCCUUCAACUACUGAGAUGUUCAUAUUGCACUGCUUCUUUAUUCUGUUAAUAUAAUGAAUUACACUUUUUGAUUUCAAAUGCUAAACUAUUAUUGUAUUCCUAGAAUACACUCCAUUUUGUCAUUCUUUAUGUAUGUUGCUGGCUUCAUUUGUUAAUAUUUUGCUGAGCAUUUUUGCAUGUAUCUACAAGAAAUUUUAGCCUAUAGUAUUCCUUUCUUGUAAUAAAGGUCACAUAAUAUGGAAGUGACUGGGGUUGUGGGAAAGUAUAUUAAGGUUGAUGUGCUCUUUGGUGACUCUAAAAUUAUACCAGUAGUCAAUCAAUUACCCACUCCACCUUAAGACACUUUAUAUAUACAGUUUAAACAUUGCUUUAAAAAUAUAGUUAGUGUAGUGCCUUAGAUGAUUUCAAUCACUCAAUGCAAAUGACUGCACAGAUUUGAUAAACUGGACAGAAAAAGGUAAUUAAGAUGGCAAAAGAAAGAGUUCAGCCAUCAGCCUUAUAUAUUCUCAGAAGAGGGAAGAAGAGAAAAAUAAGUUGGAUUUUUUCCCAUUUCAUUAUCAUUUUAUUAUGUUUAUAUUUGCACAUUUCAAAAGUGAGAAAAUUCAACUCAUUGAAAUUGGAAGAAAAAGUUUUUCAGGCCAUCUCAGUAAUUCUUAUGCACAGAAGCAUUGAAACCAUUGGCAAGCUCUGUCUGGCAGGUCCUUAUUAAUGACAAGUCUGUAUGGGUUUUUUUUUGUUUUUUGUUUUUUGUUUUUUUGACAGUUACUUGGUUUAGUUUUCAUUUGAGGAUCUCCAUUUUAAAGGUCACUGUCCCACAUCUCUAUCUUAACUUUAAAAAAAGACAUUUGUAUCUGGCUGAGAGCUACCAGAAGGGUAAAAACAAACAAACUGAUGGAAAAGAGACAAGUUAAGCGUCUUACAUUGUUUUCAGAUGUGAAGACAGUGGGAAAAAUAUGGCAUUAAUGUGUUAAAAACACACACAUUUUGACAAAACUGACAACAAAAUCUUUGAAGAGAGCUGCCUCCUAAGACAAAAAGCAUCCUUGUCCUUACUUAAGGACAAUUUUGAGAUCAGAGAUAUAAAUGAAGACAUGUACAAGACUGUGCUUUGAGUAGCAAAUUUUCUAACAUAAUUAAAUGAAUAAUUAUUGAGCCAUAUGAUAGAAUAUAAUGCAACCAUUGAAAGUCAUCAUGAAAAUAUGCAAUGUCAUAGGAAAUGCCUAUGAUACUGUAACAAGAAAUUCAGACAUACACACAUCCCAAUACAGUGGGCCAAGUGAAAUAAUUAAUUAAAAUUAAUUAAAAAGAACAAUCCUCAGAUACUAGGUAUAAACAUAGAACAAAAACUAAAAGGAAAACACUAAAUUUGUAAUGGUGGUUACCUUAGUGUGAUACAAAUAAAUGAUUUUGGUUUUAUUCUUAUAGUUUUCUGCAUUUUUAAAUUUUUUUCCUAAAACUGGUAUUAUUUCUCUAACAAGAAAAAAAUAUAUAGAAAAAUAGAUUUUUUUAGAUGUCAGUUUGGGAAGAAGUGUCACAUGUCAUACAUGAUACAAGAGACUAAUUUCCCACUCAGCUUUAGAGAUGUACUUGUGAAAUAGCUGUAUUUUAGCACAGAUAAUUUACUUGGUAUCUUAGUAUCUUAAUGAUAGUUCCAGUGAGCCAUUUGGUUUUUGAAGGACAGUUCAGGGAGCCACAUCCUAACAGCUUGACCGCUCUCAUUUCUGGCAUGUGGAGGUGCCAACUUCCUCAUUCCCUGCCCUCUUAACACCACAAGCUGUCAGUUUCCCAGUCACUCUGAACUGUUGGUAGCUUUACAGGCAGGUUGCUGUGCAGUAGAUCUGUGUUUCUGAUAAAUACUGGGUUCUGUUUUGCAUCCAGGCCAGGUAUAUGAGGCAAUCAGCUGGAGCCAGUACAUGGACAUGUUUCAUUGUUCUGUCUGGAGAUACAGUAGAGAGAAAAAUGCUGGGGGUUUGGCAGUGGAGACCUGAAUUUGAGUCUGUUUAUGACAUUGGACAAGUUCUUAACUGCCUUGGGCCUCAGCUCACCCUGAAUGGGUAAAUUAAAUGACCUUUGCCAUACCACUGUGUCAGAGUUGUGAAUUUCAAAGAGUGCAUACGUGUUAUCUAUAACUUGAUUCUAAAGUUUAUAGGGGCCAUGUGUGGUGGCUCACGCCUGUAAUCCCAGCAGUUUGGGAGGCCAAGGUGGGUGGACCACCUGAGGUCAGGAGUUCAAGAUCAGCCUGGCCAACAUGGCAAAACCCUAUCUCUACUAAAAAUACAAAAAUUAGCCAGACGAGGUCACAGGUGCCUGUAAUCCCAGCUACUCAGAGGCUGAGGCAGGAGAACUGCUUGAACCUGGGAGGAGGAGGUUGCAGUGAGCUGAGAUCGCACCACUGCACCACUGCACUCCAGUUUGGGUGAGACAGCAAGAUUCCGUCAAAAAAAUAAAUAAAAAUAAAAAUGACAAUUAAAGUUUAUAGGGGAAGGCAAAACAAACAACAACAACAACAACAAAACCCUCACAGAAUAGCCAAUACAAUAUUGAGAAACAAACUUGGAGGACUGAAAGUACCCAGCUUCAAGACAUACUAUAAAACUACAGUUAUCAAGACAGUGUGGUAUUGGCAAAAGAAGAGGCAAAUAGAUCAAUAGAACACAAGAGAGAGGUCAGAAAUAAACCCAUACAAAUACAGUUAACUGAUCUUUGGCAAAGGAGCAAAGGCAAUUCAAUGGAGAAAGGAUAGUUGUUUCUUAACAAAUAGUGCUGGAACACAUGUACAUCAACAUGUAAAAAUAUGAAUCCUGACAUAGGCCUUAUAUCUUUCACAAAAAUUGACUCAAAAUGGAUCAUAGGCUUACCUGUAAAAUAUAAAACUAUAAGACCCCUAGGAGAUAUCACAGGUAAAAUCUAGAUGAUCUCUGCUUUGGGGAUGACUUUUUAGAUACAACACCAAAGGAUGAUCAAUGAAGGAAAAUAUUGGCAAGAGAAACUUCAUUCUGUUGGGGUGAUCAGACCCAACACCAGGUCGUGGGGGUGACAAAGUCCGGCGGAGCCAAAGGAUGGAGAAAAAGACAGUUCGAGAGAGACAGGUGGGACACCAUCUAGUUUACAGAGGCUGCGAAGGCCCCAAGCUCUGGGAGCCCACGCUAUUUAUUGGUAAUCCAAGAAAGAAACAGGUGGUGAGAAUUUGGAGGUCAAAAGGGCACAUUGCAUUAAGCACAUGAUUUACAGCUGUGAUGGUUCAACAUUUAUAUGGAACAUGUUCUGCUACUUGAGAUAAUGGGAAUAGGAGACUAGGAGCCUAGGAGGGCUAGAAGCAAGGAGCCAGCAAGUCGAGACACAUUCCAGAGGACAUUAGGCAGGCCCUGCCUCAGUUUCCCUCCCAACAUUCAGCUUUUUCCCAACACAUUCAACUUAAAAAGUUUUGCUCUGUGAAAGACACUGUUAAGAGAAUGACAGAUGAGCCUCAAACUGAGAGAAAAUAUUUCAACCCAAAUGAGUUGAAAACACAAACCUGCUUACAAAUGUUUAUAGCAGCUUUAUUAAUAAUUGCCAAAACUUGGAAGUAACCAAGAUGUCUUUCAAUAGGUGAAUGAAUAAAUGGAAUAUUGUUCAAUGAUAAAAAGAAAUGAACUAUCAAGCCAUGAAAAGACGUGGAGAAACUUCAAUGCAUAUUGCUAAGUGAACAGUCUUAUAGUGCUACAUACUGUAUGAUUCCAACUAUAUGACAUUCUGGAAGACGCAAAACUACGGAGACAGCAAAAAGAUUAGUGAUGGCCAGGGGUUGAAGGGAGGGUAAAAUGAGUAGAUGGAGCAGAGAGGAUUUUUAGGCAGUGAAACUGUGCUGUAAGGAUGUACUGUAAGGGUGGGUGGACACAUUUGUCAAAACCCGUGAAUGUACAAGAGUAAAUUCUAAUUCUAAUAAAUUUCAGGUUUUAGUUCAUACUGGUUCAUCAGUUGUAACAAAUGUGCCACACUAAUGCAAAACAUUAAUAAUAAAGGAAAAUGGGGGUUGGGUGGGAAGUGUAUAUGGAAACUAUAUUUUCUGUUCAAUUUCCUAUAAACCUAAAACUAUUAUCAAAAACAGUCUAUUAUUUUUUAAAAGUGUAUGUGAAAGCCAUUUCUAAGUAAAGCACUAAAGAAGGAUAUUUUGGCUACAAGUAAUAGAAAACUCAGUUAAAAUAUAUGUGUGGUUUUUUGUUUGUUUUUCAAGACAGGGACUCCCUCUGUCCCCCAGGCUGGAGUGUGCAGUGAUACGAUCAUAGAUUACGGCAACCUCGAACUCCUGGGCUCAAGGGAUCCUCCCACCUCAGUCUCCCCAAUAGCUGGAACUACAGGCCCACAUCACCAUACCCAGCUAUUUUUAAAUGGUUUCGUAGAGAUGGGUUCUUGCUAUGUUGCCAGGGCUGAUUUUGAAUUCCUGGCCUCAAGUGAUCCUCCCACUUGGUCUUUCAAAAUGCUGGGCACCACUGUGGCUGGCCUAUAUGUUUUCUUGAUUGUGCACACCUAACAGUAAAAGAAAAAUUGUUUGAGAAUGCACUCAACAAUUUAUAUAAAAGUAUGUAUUCAUUUAUAUAUAAAGUAUACACAUUACCUGUAUCAAUGUUAUGUACAUUUUAUAAACAUACAUAAAAAUACAAUUUUA
rnacentral:lncRNA from 1 species